GACGAACGCUGGCGGCGUGCUUAACACAUGCAAGUCGAGCGGUAAGGCCCUUUCGGGGGUACACGAGCGGCGAACGGGUGAGUAACACGUGGGUGACCUGCCCUCAGCUCUGGGAUAAGCCUGGGAAACUGGGUCUAAUACCGGAUAUGACCCACUGACGCAUGUCGUGGGGUGGAAAGCCUUGUGCGGCUGAGGAUGGGCCCGCGGCCUAUCAGCUUGUUGGUGGGGUGAUGGCCUACCAAGGCGACGACGGGUAGCCGGCCUGAGAGGGCGACCGGCCACACUGGGACUGAGACACGGCCCAGACUCCUACGGGAGGCAGCAGUGGGGAAUCUUGCGCAAUGGGCGAAAGCCUGACGCAGCGACGCCGCGUGAGGGAUGACGGCCU
rnacentral:rRNA from 1 species